CUGAGGUAUGAGCAAGGCUAAAUGCAACUCAUAUUAUUCAUUCAUUAGCGCUCUGCACAGCCUAGUCUUGUUAGCAGUGGAAGCACUCCUCACCUUGCAUAAGCCUGGUUAGUGCACCUCCUCCUCAUGCUGUUUUGCCUCAGUUUCUUUGACAUCUAAAUCUAGUCAUGCCAGGCACAACUCCAACACCAUCAUUAAGUUUGCUGACGACACAGGAGGCCUGAUCAUCGACGACGAUGAGACCGCCUAUCGGGAGGAGGUUAGAGACCUGGCGGUGUGGUGCCAGGACAGCAAGUUCUCCCUCAAAGUCAGCAAGACAAAGGAGCUGAUCGUGGACUACAGCAAAUGGAGGCCCGAGCAUGCCCCCAUUCACGGGGCUGUAGUGGAGCAGGUUGAGCGCUUCAAGUUCCUCAGUGUCCACAUCACUAAGGAGCUAUCAUUGUCCACACACACCAACACAGUCGUGAAGAAGGCACGACAACGCCUCUUCCCCGUCAGGAGGCUUAACAUUUUGAUAUAAGCCCUCAGAUCCUCAAAAAGUUCUAGCUAGCUGCCUAUCAAGCUAGCAGGGUUUUCUUGAGGCUUAAACGCAGCAAGCAACGCGGUUAGCCAUAGUGUCUGGGACCACGGAUUGUCAAGAUUGCUGUGGUCUGUUGCUGUUUCAAUCUUCCCUGCGACCUGCCCUGUCUGGAAAUUUGUGAAGUAACAGCGUAACCUCCAUUGCUACCAUGACAGACCAAAGCCGGCGUGAGUACCCUUGAGGACAGUGGUGUUGCUCUAUCACAGGUGAAGAUUAUUAUACUUUAAAAAAAAAAUUUUUACCCCCUUUUUCUCUCCAGUUUCGAGCGAUCAAUUGCGAUCUUGUCUCAUCGCUGCAACUCCCCAACGGGCUCGGGAGAGGCAAAGGUCGUGUCAUGCGUCCUCCAAAACAUGACCUACCAAGCUGCGUUUCUUAACGCCUGCUCGCUUAACCCGGAAGCCAGCUGCACCAAUGUGUUGGUGGAAACACUGUUCAUCUGAUGACCGAAGUCAGCUUGCAGGCACCCAGCCCGUGACAAGGAGUCGCUAGGCCGUGAUGAGCCAAGACGUUUCAAGUCGCACGUCUAUCUUGGAACAUGACGUGGAUGUGGGGCACGCUGCUCCUAUUCAUCAGCAUCCGUACCGGGUUAACGCUAUGAGAGGAAAUGGCUUCCUGGAUUCCUGAAGCAGCUGAUUGGAUGGCCCCAUCGCUGAUUGGAGCUUUGACCCCUCCCUCUCAUCACGGGAUACAGCUGUCUCUUCAUUAUCAACUCCUUCUCCAGCUUAAUAAAAGCCAGUGUUCCUUUGUCAGAAGAGAUCUUCUUUUUAUGUCCUGUGUUGGUUGUUGGUCAGUGAAAGUUUUGUUGAUAUUAUUUUGUAGCCACUCCUCCCGAGGUAUGUGUAUGCCAAUAGGACUUUUUGAUUAUUGAAAUUGUUCACUAAAAGUAUUAGUAAUUAUUUCAUUUGUUCCCAGGGGUGGAAGGGGAACGCACCUUAGGAGUGUUUAGGCAAGAGGCCUGCGGGCAUACAUAACCCGUAGUAUUUAAUCUGUGUAUCGUUUUACCGUGUUAAGGAAUAAUAAAUUCCC
rnacentral:lncRNA from 1 species